CUCUAUCUCUCAUUCCUGCAGCCGCCAACCCAAUCUCCUCCUCCUUCUCUCUAGUUCCGGCCGCCAAGCCUCCUCCUCCCUCGUUCCCUCCUCCCAAUCUCCUCCUCCUUCUCUCUGCUUCUGGCCGCCAAGCCUCGCCGCCGGCCCGAGCCCGACCUGCAGCCGCACGCCUCGCCACCGCCGCCGGCCCGAGCCUGACCUACCGCCGCCAAGCCCCGCUGCCGCCUGCCCGCGCCCGACCUGCCGCCAUCCCGCGAGCCCCGCGCCUGGAGGAGCCGCCCUGCGGCGCUUUGAGGCUGCCCGCGCCCAGAUCCGGCCUGCGCCGACCCACCCGCCGCGGAUCCGUCCUCCCUCUCUCCCGCCGGACGACGACAACAUUGAAGGCGACCGGUGGCGGCGACAUCUCCAGGACAGCGGCAUGAGCGGCGGCUGUGGAUUUGAUGGCGAAGGUUGUGCGGGUGGCGCGUUCAUGGAGUCGACGGCGACGUCAGGGAGUUGAUAACGCCGGUGCGGUGAGGUCGACGGGCUGCUGUGUGGACCUUUUUUGUUUCUUCAAAUUCACAUCACUGUCGGGCGUUGUGGUGUGACCGCCACUGAUGGAGAAAGCAUCAGCCCAAUCGUGCACAACAGGAAGUUAGCAAGGCCGCCAGUAGUGUUGGUUUUCUCCCGUUACUAAUGAAGGAUUCUGUAGUAGUGGGAUCCCUCUCCCCCCUUUGAUCCGUUGUAACACUGUUGUGGUUUGGACUCUUGGGAUGGCAGAACUUCGUCUGCAUUCCUGUUGCGGCUGUUCUGUAACAAGUUUUACUAGUACUGCUCAUCGCAAAAUCUGUUGAGGAACUUUUCCAUGGUCCCACGUGGAAAUGGCGUUCA